GAUGAAGAACGUAGCGAAAUGCGAUAAGUAAUGUGAAUUGCAGAAUUCAGUGAAUCAUCGAAUCUUUGAACGCACCUUGCACCCUUUGGCAUUCCGAAGGGUAUGCUCGUUUGAGUGUCAUUGUACUCUCACACUCCCAAUUGCUUUGGAUUGGGAGCGGUGGACUUGGGUGUUGCUGCUUGACUGAGGCUCACCUGAAAUAUGUUAGUGCACCUCUUGAUUGGACAUAGUACGGCGUGAUAAGUGUCUUCGCCGACUCCUCGCAAAGAGGGUGGCCGAUCGGGAGCUCUGUUGCUUCAAACUGUCUUCGGACAAUCUUCUGGCGACUUGACCUCAAAUCGAGUAGGACUACCCGCUGAACUUAAGCAUAUCAAUAAGCGGAGGA
rnacentral:misc_RNA from 1 species